rnacentral:rRNA from 1 species
CGCGGCCUAUCAGCUUGUUGGUGAGGUAGUGGCUUACCAAGGCGACGACGGGUAGCCGGCCUGAGAGGGCGACCGGCCACACUGGGACUGAGACACGGCCCAGACUCCUACGGGAGGCAGCAGUGGGGAAUAUUGCACAAUGGGCGCAAGCCUGAUGCAGCGACGCCGCGUGAGGGAUGACGGCCUUCGGGUUGUAAACCUCUUUCAGCAGGGGAGAAGCCUUCGGGUGACGGUACCUGCAGAAGAAGCACCGGCUAACUACGUGCCAGCAGCCGCGGUAAUACGUAGGGUGCGAGCGUUGUCCGGAAUUAUUGGGCGUAAAGAGCUUGUAGGCGGUUUGUCGCGUCUGCUGUGAAAAUCCGGGGCUCAACCCCGGACUUGCAGUGGGUACGGGCAGACUAGAGUGUGGUAGGGGAGACUGGAAUUCCUGGUGUAGCGGUGGAAUGCGCAGAUAUCAGGAGGAACACCGAUGGCGAAGGCAGGUCUCUGGGCCAUUACUGACGCUGAGAAGCGAAAGCAUGGGGAGCAAACAGGAUUAGAUACCCUGGUAGUCCAUGCCGUAAACGUUGGGAACUAGGUGUGGGUCUCAUUCCACGAGAUCCGUGCCGCAGCUAACGCAUUAAGUUCCCCGCCUGGG